GUGAACGCUGGCGGUAGGCCUAACACCUGCAAGUCGAACGGCAGCACAGUAAGAGCUUGCUCUUACGGGUGGCGAGUGGCGGACGGGUGAGGAAUACAUCGGAAUCUACUUUUUCGUGGGGGAUAACGUAGGGAAACUUACGCUAAUACCGCAUACGACCUACGGGUGAAAGCAGGGGAUCUUCGGACCUUGCGCGAUUGAAUGAGCCGAUGUCGGAUUAGCUAGUUGGCGGGGUAAAGGCCCACCAAGGCGACGAUCCGUAGCUGGUCUGAGGGGAUGAUCAGCCACACUGGAACUGAGACACGGUCCAGACUCCUACGGGAGGCAGCAGUGGGGAAUAUUGGACAAUGGGCGCAAGCCUGAUCCAGCCAUACCGCGUGGGUGAAGAAGGCCUUCGGGUUGUAAAGCCCUUUUGUUGGGAAAGAAAAGCAGCAGGUUAAUACCCCGCUGUUCUGACGGUACCCAAAGAAUAAGCACCGGCUAACUUCGCG
rnacentral:rRNA from 1 species